rnacentral:rRNA from 1 species
GGACGAACGCUGGCGGCGUGCCUAAUACAUGCAAGUCGAGCGAACAUUUGAGAGCUUGCUCUCAAAUGUUAGCGGCGGACGGGUGAGUAACACGUGGGCAACCUGCCUAUAAGACUGGGAUAACUUCGGGAAACCGGAGCUAAUACCGGAUAAUUCACAUCUACUCAUGUAGAUGUGCUGAAAGCGGUUUACGCUGUCGCUUA